GAGGAAUAUUGGACAAUGGAGGCAACUCUGAUCCAGCCAUGCCGCGUGCAGGAAGACUGCCCUAUGGGUUGUAAACUGCUUUUAUACAGGAAGAAACCGCGUUACGUGUAGUGUCUUGACGGUACUGUAAGAAUAAGGAUCGGCUAACUCCGUGCCAGCAGCCGCGGUAAUACGGAGGAUCCAAGCGUUAUCCGGAAUCAUUGGGUUUAAAGGGUCCGUAGGYGGACURRUCAGUCAGAGGUGAAAUCCUGCAGCUUAACUGUAGAACUGCCUUUGAUACUGCUAGUCUUGAAUSAUUGUGAAGUGGUUAGAAUAUGUAGUGUAGCGGUGAAAUGCAUAGAUAUUACAUAGAAUACCRAUUGCGAAGGCAGAUCACUAACAAUAUANUGACACUGAUGGACGAAAGC
rnacentral:rRNA from 1 species